rnacentral:misc_RNA from 1 species
GAUGAAGAACGUAGCGAAAUGCGAUACGUAAUGUGAAUUGCAGAAUUCAGUGAAUCAUCGAAUCUUUGAACGCAUAUUGCGCUCUCUGGUAUUCCGGAGAGCAUGCUUGUUUGAGUAUCAGUAAACACCUCAACUUCCAUAUCUUUUUUGAAAUGGGAGUUGGACUUGAGUGAUCCCAACGCUUUUCCUCACCGAAAAGUGGCGGGUUACUUGAAAUGCAGGUGCAGCUGGACUUUUCUCUGAGCUAUAAGCAUAUCUAUUUAGUCUGCCUAAAAAACAGAUUAUUACCUUUGCUGCAGCUAACAUAAAGGAGAUUAGUUCUUGUGCUGACUGAUGCAGGAUUCACAAAGACAGGCUUCGGCCGACUUUGUAAACUCGAUCUCAAAUCAAGUAAGACUACCCGCUGAACUUAAGCAUAUCAAUAAACGGAGGA